UACAGAGGGUGCGAGCGUUAAUCGGAAUUACUGGGCGUAAAGCGUGCGUAGACGGUUAUUUAAGUCGGAUGCGAAAGCCCCGGGCUCAACCUGGGAAUUGCAUUCGAGACUGAAUAGCUAGGGUGCGGUAGAGGGAAGCGGAAUUUCCGGUGUAGCGGUGAAAUGCGUAGAUAUCGGAAGGAACAUCAGUGGCGAAAGCGGCUUCCUGGACCAGCACCGACGUUCAGGCACGAAAGCGUGGGGAGCAAACAGG
rnacentral:rRNA from 1 species